AUAACAGACAGAAAGUCGCCGGUAGGUGGCGGUAAAACACUGUGACUGGAAAAGAACGCGAAGAAGAAAGUCAUGUGAUCCAGGAGGAAGCGUUGGCUUGACAACGGCCAUAAUCUUCCCUUUGCGAUAAAGAGAGCAGUAAGAAGACACAAUGCCUGAAGUGAAGUCAAUUAUCAGAGAAGUUCUGCCCAAACAAGGGCAACUCUCCAUGGAAGAUGUCCCCACCAUGGUUAUGUGCAAACCAAAGCUGCUCCCACUCAAAUCAGUCACGCUGGAGAAACUGGAGAAGAUGCAGAUGGAGGCGCAGGAGGCCGUCAGACAGCAGGAGCUCGCAAUGAAGGAGCAGGCACAGUAGAAGCCCGAUGGAGGACGUGUGUUACUUAGGAAGAAGAACUUGAAGACGGCACAAGCCCAGCGUUUUCACAUACUUAAAGAAGAUGUGUUGUAAGCACAGUUAGGUGCAGUGUCGGGAGAUUCGUCUUCAUGAAGUGUUUGGUAAGAAGUUAAAUGAGCGAUCAGAACAUCCUGCUUUGAAAUAGUCAUCACAGAAUGAUCCACCUCAUAUAAUCAUUUAGGAUUACAUCUAUUGUCAUAGAGAGGUGGUUGACGACUGGUACCUCUGCAUUUCUUCAUACUUGAUCAUGACUGGGGAUACAUGUGUGCUAGAACAUGGCAUUGAUUUCUGUCUGGUGAAUGUAGGGCGAGGCAUUUCUUACGUCAGUUCAAAGGAGUGACUGAAGCAGUAAUGCACAUUAAAAACUGUUACAUCAUAAGAAGUCAUGUAUUAUUUAAUUGUUGUAACAUAUAAAAAAGGGUAACAGGUGGUUUAUUUCACACACCAAUCCUCCCUGAUAUGAAAUUAAACUUGUGAAGAUAC